CAUUAUGGUCGCUGUGCGUGGGAGGCCUUCGGGCCUGCCGGUGUUCUGAUUUUUCUGCCUCCGGUUCGUCAACCCGCGCACAGCCGCCACCCUU
rnacentral:antisense_RNA from 1 species